GAUGAACGCUGGCGGCGUGCCUAAUACAUGCAAGUCGAGCGAACAGACGAGGAGCUUGCUCCUCUGACGUUAGCGGCGGACGGGUGAGUAACACGUGGAUAACCUACCUAUAAGACUGGGAUAACUUCGGGAAACCGGAGCUAAUACCGGAUAAUAUAUUGAACCGCAUGGUUCAAUAGUGAAAGACGGUUUUGCUGUCACUUAUAGAUGGAUCCGCGCCGCAUUAGCUAGUUGGUAAGGUAACGGCUUACCAAGGCGACGAUGCGUAGCCGACCUGAGAGGGUGAUCGGCCACACUGGAACUGAGACACGGUCCAGACUCCUACGGGAGGCAGCAGUAGGGAAUCUUCCGCAAUGGGCGAAAGCUUGACGGGGCAACGCCGCGUGAGUGAUGAAGGUCUUCGGAUCGUAAAACUCUGUUAUUAGGGAAGAACAAAUGUGUAAGUAACUAUGCACGUCUUGACGGUACCUAAUCAGAAAGCCACGGCUAACUACGUG
rnacentral:rRNA from 1 species